AGGUCAUCUAACCCUCAUGAGCAGCAAGAAACCAAGACGAUUACUUUCCCAUAGUCCCUUAGACACUGGUUUCCUGGCUUUGAAGGACUCUCCAGUUUUUAAUCUAUUCACAAUACAGAGCCCAAAAGACGAAGGAGAGAACCAUCCUAACUAGACAUGAUAUUUGGAGCCUCGCGUGACAGCCAUGCACUGAGGUACUUUGUCGAGGGAACAGAGCACAGACCGAAGCAGAAGAGGCACCUUGAUGGAAGUACCCUGUGCUGGGGAAUAACUGUGGCUGAAGAAAACUCAUCCUUGUGUUACCCCCCAAAAAGACCUCUCAGGUCAAUUUGAGAAACAUCAAAAUAUAAGUUCAUCUAAAUUUUUCCAAGUCCCAGAACCUUAAACAAUCAUUCCCCCAUCAAACAUACAUAAGACUGUAUCUGAAAAGGUGCCGUUGUGUUGUGUGAUAGUUGUUUGUGUUCUGACAAAUAAAGCUUGCCUGGAGAUCAGAGACGCAAACGAGCAUCCACCAGUGACUUCCUUACCUCUAUGGAUCCUCUGACCAAAUGGGAGCUGAGAUCCUGUCUCCACCUCCCUAGUGCUGGCAUU